rnacentral:rRNA from 1 species
CAGUCGCCGCGGUAAGACAGAGGAUGCAAGCGUUAUCCGGAAUGAUUGGGCGUAAAGGGCUCGCAGGCGGUUUCUUAAGUCUGAUGUGAAAGCCCCCGGCUCAACCGGGGAGGGUCAUUGGAAACUGGGAAACUUGAGUGCAGAAGAGGAGAGUGGAAUUCCACGUGUAGCGGUGAAAUGCGUAGAGAUGUGGAGGAACACCAGUGGCGAAGGCGACUCUCUGGUCUGUAACUGACGCUGAGGAGCGAAAGCGUGGGGAGCGAACAGGAUUAGAUACCCCCGUAGUCCCUGUCUCUUAUAC